rnacentral:rRNA from 1 species
CCCUUAGAUGUCCUGGGCCGCACGCGCGCUACACUGAGUGUCUGAGAUACGAGUCUGCCUGGUCCGGCAAGGUCUAGGUAAUCGCUAAAAGACACAUCAUGCUUGGGAUAGAUUAUUGCAAAUAUUAAUCUUGAACGAGGAAUUCCUAGUAAGUGCGAGUCAUCAGCUUGCGCUGACUUACGUCCCUGCCCCUUGUACACACCGCCCGUCGCUGCCCGGAACUGAGCCGUUUCGAGAAAGCCGGGGACUGACGGCUUGUGGGUGCGCAAGCGCUUCUUGCCGAUGGAAACCAGUUUAAUCGGUAUGGCUUGAACCGGGCAAAAGUCGUAACA